UCUAUUCCUCAAUCUACUCUUUCUCCUUCUUUCUCUUUUUCUUCCUCAAUCUUCUCCUCUUUUUUUUUAUCUUUUAUCUUUAUAUUUCUGACGUUCUCUUCUUUGAUUAGGUCAGGUCUUCUAUCAGCUUUCGAACACCCGGUAACUAUAGUGCACGCGACCCUUUAUGCUCUCCAAUGAACCGAGAUAAGGGAUAUGAGACAACAACGGGAGAUAGCUGCCAAGCCACCCUCAAGAAUUAGAUGAGUCAUUUGAGGAUCAAGGAUGAAGAGUUACAUAAAAAUGGGAAGUUGAGCAAGAAGAAUAGCAAAAAUAACAAAAUUGAGUUUUCGUGGUUCUCUGAAUCAUGGCGAUGGAACGCGUCUCCGAAUUUCCUCACACUUAUAUGGAUCGUCGCCCAAGAAAAAGAGUUCCCAAGGUUGUAGAUCUGGUGAAAUUUGCGUACAUUGGUUAUAUUUGCUUCAGGUAACAUGUUUUUUUGCCUCGCAAGGUUGAAGUGACGAUUUUUUAUGUUUUGUUUGAUGCAUCUGUUAGUUUUUGUGGUUCUCUGAAUCAUGGAGAUGGAACGCGUCUCCGAAUUUCCUCACAAGAAGGAUCUAGCAGGAAAGGUUUUUUUUUUUGCUUUGUUGUUAUGCAUGUUUGUUUCCUGUUGUUAGUAACACUGAUCUUGCCUAUUGAAUGUUCUUUUCCUAUUGAGAAAACCCAUCUCUUCCUUCUUCAGUUUUCUUCAGCUUGGUGGUUGUGCAACGUGAUGAUGAAGAAGCAUCCAACAGGCAAGGUUUUUUUUUUUGCUUUGCUGUUAUGCAUGUUUGUUUCCUUUUGGUAGUAACACUAUCUUAACUAUUGAAUAUUCUUUUUCUAUUGAAUGUUCCUUUCUUUGUUAUUUUGUUGGUUUUGUUGCUCCAAGUUAAAGUAGUUUUCGCUGCUCCAUGGUUUUGCAACGUCAGCCGCGAGGAAGUAUCCAGACAUUGAAUCAUAUUCCUGCACAUCAGCAAAGGGCCGCACUCUUCCAUUGCACCCUUCCCCUGCAACGUAAACGCCGCAAUCAUUGGGACUCCAUUAGUUUCUCUCAAUUCCCUUCGCUUUAUCUUUUUGUCAUUUGAUUCAACAACUUCUCUUGAUUUAUAUCAAUUUUUGUCUCUUUUAAUUAUGGGUCUCACCACCCCAAUUCCAUGUGUCUUUCUGAUUUUGUAUCCGUUUUUUACAAUCUGGGAACUUUUUGUGUAACCCAAGCAGUGGAAAGUGUUGUUUACAUGUUUUGUUGCUGAGAACGGUUUAAUUGUAGAGAGGGAGCAACGAUACCUCGAGAAGGUUUAAAAGGGUGCAAACGAAAAACAGGGUAAUGAACAAUAUCAAUGAUUAUGCAAAAUCCCUUUUUCAGAUGUGCUCAGAAAAUGGUGCAAGGCCAGAAAAAGAUGAGCUUGAUUUUGAGUUUUUGGGGAACAAAACAGGAGAGCCUUAUUUGAUUCAGACUAAUGUAUACAAGAAUGAGAUUGGUGGACGUAAGAUGAGGCACAUGCUUUGGUUUGACCCCACAGAGGACUACCACACCUAUUCCAUUCACGAGGGAAGAAUUAGAAUGAGAUCAUGUUAAAGAGGCAUUUGCUUAGUUGAUUCUAACUAACUAACUACUAUAUAAUUUUAAUUUUUGGAGUUAUUUGCUGCUAGCUAGGGGACUUAUUAGGGAAUAAUUGAACAUCAACAUGUCAUUUGAACCUUAUGAUCAAAAUUGAAAUAUCUUGAUUAUUUUCUCAAUA